CCCUUAGAUGUCCUGGGCCGCACGCGCGCUACACUGAUGCAUUCAACGAGUUCUACCUUGGCCGAGAGGCCUGGGCAAUCUUUUGAACCUGCAUCGUGAUAGGGAUAGAUUAUUGCAAUUAUUAAUCUUGAACGAGGAAUUCCUAGUAAACGCAGAUCAUCAAUCUGCAUUGAUUACGUCCCUGCCCUUUGUACACACCGCCCGUCGCACCUACCGAUUGAAUGGUCCGGUGAAGCCUCGGGAUUGUGGCGAGUUCCCUUUAUUGGGAGUUUGUCGCGAGAACUUGUCUAAACCUUAUCAUUUAGAGGAAGGUGAGGUCGUAACA
rnacentral:rRNA from 1 species